AAUUGCCUUUGGGAUGUCACGAAGGUAGCGUGUGUGCGAUUUUCUAACGUGGUGACAUCAAAGUAACGUGUAAAAUAUCCUAAAAAUCCUUACUUUCACUUAACUUCGCAUAACUUUUGAAUCAACUCUGACAAACCAAACGUAUUUUCUACUGUACAUACAUUGACAAAGGAAAAAUCGGUACUUUUAACUAUUUGAGUCUCAAGUCCUGUUUUCCCGCUAUGUCAUAGGCAUAGUAGCCCACUGUACAGGGACAUGUACAUGAAACAGUUAAUCACAGCAUGGAUUUGUAGUUAGAGAUAGUAUGGUAAAAUAGAAUUAAAUUGGUGGCCAGCAAAGGACUAAGUCUGAGGGGAGGGUCACUUCUAUGAUGAUAUAUUCGCCGAUCCUCUGCGCAAAAUUUUGUGGCGACGUUUUUUGCAUCAUAAUAACAUGGAUUUGAUGACAUAGUUGACGGAAGCGAUCCAGAGACAAUACAUUUACAUAGGAGGUAAACGGAAGCCGAGAGCAUGUGAAUGUUGAUCUGUGCGGACCAAUUAGAUGAUGGAUAGAAGCAAUAUGGCAUCAAAAUAAAAUUGAACUUUCCUAAGGUGGAAAUGGUUUCAAUCAGUCGCGGCCGCGGCCGUGGAUGGGUUUCAAAUGAUAAGAACUCAUUACCAAAACCAGGGGGAUCGUUAUAUGCUGAUGAUACGAUUUAUACAAAUCUUCUUAAUCUUAUAAACCUUGUGAAUAGUGAAAACUUAACAGAAAUAAUUGAAGAUAUUGCGAAAUUGAUUAAUGAGAAUAAGCAAAACCUAAAGGAGAUACUCAAUAAACUUUACUCAUAUGCAUUAGACAAUACUGACUUUGUGAUGAAAUUAUUACUUAUAUGCGAUAAUUCUAAAAUUAUAAAUAUACGUGAUUCCAAAGGUACAACUUUAAAGGGAUAUUUAGUGAAUCAAUAUCAGGAAGAUUAUGAAAGGAGGAAAGAUUUGAAGAAAGAAAAUGCAGCUCAAUUUUAUAACCAUGUUAUCUUGUUUUCUAAAUUCUUAAGUUAUAUUUGAUGUUCAUUGAAGGGCUCGUAUCAUAUGUUUGGAUGUGCAUUUAUAGAUUAUUUGGAAAUGCUGCUGGAAAUAGCUUCACCAGAUGAUGUCCAAUUUUUUACAGAAAAACUUAUUGUACAUGGACAAGUCCUCAAUACCAUUUGUCACAACAAACUGAAAGAUUUAAUGAUCAUUGCAAGACAAGUCUUACUCAAAGAAAAUCUACCUCUUACAUCUCGACAAUUUUUAUUGUAUGGAGUAGAUUUAGAGAAUAGGAAUUUUGGUCAACUGCCUACAAAUUUGCAGAAAUUUUAUAUGUCGUAAUUUAGUGAAAAUUUUAUAGAAAAGGAUAAAUAUAUUGUUGAUUUCCUAAUAAAUAUGAAUUUAAAAGAUACUGAUUGCAAAUGAGAAUUUUAUUCAAGGGAAUAUUGGCCUUGAUUUCGGAGGACAAUUUUAUAGUCGUGUGAUACAAUAGUUAUUAAAAAUAUAAAUAUGAUGAUUAAUUUUAGAGCAUCAUUCUUCAACAAACAAAUUAGAAAAGCAGAAGCUUUAGUCUAUGUCUGCAAAUAAUGAAGGUUUAAGAGCGAUUUGAGGUUAGGAGCGACAGUUAAAGUUAUAAAAUAAACAGAAAUUUAACUAAGUAUAUGUAAAAAGCUGAUGUAAAAGUUAAUAAAUAUAAGUUAACAGGGA